AUUGAACGCUGGCGGCGUGCUUAACACAUGCAAGUCGAACGGUGACCCUCGGAGCUUGCUUCGGGGUGAACAGUGGCGAACGGGUGAGUAACACGUGAGUAACCUGCCCCUGACUCUGGAAUAAGCGCUGGAAACGGCGUCUAAUACCGGAUACGACACGAACGGGCAUCCGUAUCGUGUGGAAAGUUUUUCGGUCUGGGAUGGACUCGCGGCCUAUCAGCUUGUUGGUGAGGUAAUGGCUCACCAAGGCUUUGACGGGUAGCCGGCCUGAGAGGGUGACCGGUCACACUGGGACUGAGACACGGCCCAGACUCCUACGGGAGGCAGCAGUGGGGAAUAUUGGACAAUGGGCGGAAGCCUGAUCCAGCAACGCCGCGUGAGGGAUGACGGCCUUCGGGUUGUAAACCUCUUUCAGUACCGACGAAGCGUGAGUGACAGUAGGUACAGAAGAAGGACCGGCCAACUACGUGCCAGCAGCCGCAGUAACAC
rnacentral:rRNA from 1 species